UAGUAUGGGGAUCUGCCCGAUAGAGGGGAAUAACUACUGGAAACGGUGGCUGAUACCGCAUAAUGUCUACGGACCAAAGCAGGGGCUCUUCGGACCUUGCACUAUCGGAUGAACCCAUAUGGGAUUAGCUAGUAGGUGGGGUAAAGGCUCACCUAGGCGACGAUCUCUAGCUGGUCUGAGAGGAUGAUCAGCCACACUGGGACUGAGACACGGCCCAG
rnacentral:rRNA from 1 species